AUGGAAACACCGGUCCCCGCACGAAAACCGAAGUGAAGCAACGUUACGCCUGGUCAGUACCUAGAUGGGCGACCGUUUGAGAAUACCAGAUGCU